GCCUCAGGACGACCUGGCGCCGGAUUCCAUUUUAUUUCAACCGGGGACGACCCCA
rnacentral:ncRNA from 1 species